rnacentral:rRNA from 1 species
GACGAACGCUGGCGGCGUGCUUAACACAUGCAAGUCGAGCGGUAAGGCCCUUUCGGGGGUACACGAGCGGCGAACGGGUGAGUAACACGUGGGUGACCUGCCCUUAGCUCUGGGAUAAGCCUGGGAAACUGGGUCUAAUACCGGAUAUGACUCCAUGACGCAUGUUGUGGGGUGGAAAGCCUUGUGCGGCUAGGGAUGGGCCCGCGGCCUAUCAGCUUGUUGGUGGGGUGAUGGCCUACCAAGGCGACGACGGGUAGCCGGCCUGAGAGGGCGACCGGCCACACUGGGACUGAGACACGGCCCAGACUCCUACGGGAGGCAGCAGUGGGGAAUCUUGCGCAAUGGGCGAAAGCCUGACGCAGCGACGCCGCGUGAGGGAUGACGGCCUGU